CUGGCCAAUGGCGCGAAGGCGGGAAAAGCCUCUCCCUCCCUCAGCCCGGCCUUCCUUCUCCUCCUGCUUCUCCCGCCGCCGCUCCGCCUCUUCCAGGACCCGCUUUUAAAGACCCCGCGCCCGAUUUCGUGAACCUUCCUAGGUUUGAGAACUGGAAAGUCUGAGAAAUCCAACCAGUCCAGGUUUUCAAAAGAUCCCCAGACCAUUCUGUCCCGCUGGACUUUUCAACCUGACCCAGUUUCCCCGGCAGCUUUCUGAAAAGGGAAGACCUCUCUGACGGCCAAGUUACAUAAAAGGCGAACAUAAUACUUGUUGAUUCCAAACCCCGCGAGGAAAACAAAGCUUGUGUAACUGGAUGGGAAUGGAUUCACGGACCUGCCGAUCCCGCGGAGCAGAUGUGGACGACGUUGCUGUUGGGCACGAAGACGCUGUUGAACUUCUCCUUGGCUUUGGAAUAACAGGCAAAGUAGACCGCCCUGCCAGGGACAGGAGAGAAAGGGCCCUGAGUUCGAACCACGGGUCUGGCACAAUCUGGGGUCAUUUGAUGGGAGUUCUUGGCAUCAGGGAGUUAUAGUUCGCCCGUAUUCAGAGAACAAUGAACCCAACAAGGGAUGGAUCUGGACCAAACUUGGCGCACAGACCCAACAUGGCCAACUAUGGAGACUGGAAGGGUUUGGAGGUGAUUGACAUUGGCAUCAGGGAGUUAUAAUUCACCCGUAUUUGGAGAACACAACCCAGUAAGUGAUGGAUCUGGACCAAAUUUGACACACAAGCCCAACAUGGCCAACUGUGCAUACUGGGAGGAUUUGGGGGUGAUUGAUAUUGGCAUCAGGGAGUUAUAGUUCACCCGUAUUCAGAGAACACUAAACUCAGCCAGUGAUGGAUCUGGACCAAACAUGGGUCCAGACUCAACAUGGCCAACUGUGAAUACUAGGGGAGUUUGGGGAGGACUGACGCAAGAUUCUGGGGAAUUGUAGUUCACCUUACGCAUUUUCUAAUGGGAGCAUUCACAAAAAACAACAGGAAGAAAUAGUGCAACCAAGCUCAAAUAGUGACCAAGCUCAUAUUACUUAACAUCCCAAAAUUGUUAGGAGCCCCCAUGGCCUAGUGGGUUAAAGCCUUGUGACUUGAAGGUUGGGUUGCUGACCUGAAGGCUGCCAGGUUCGAAUCCCACCCGGGGUGAGCGCGGAUGAGCUCCCUCUGUCAGCUCCAGCUCCAUGCGGGGACAUGAGAGAAGCGUCCCGCAAGGAUGGUAAAAACAUCCUUAAUUAAUGAUGCCUUAAUUAAUGUAAUUUGAUUGGUAUCUAAUUUUAUUUUUGAAAUUUACCCAUAGCUGCUGCAUUUCCCACCCUCGGCUUAUACUCUAGUCAAUAAGUUUUCCCAGUUUUUUGUGGUAAAAUUAGGUGCCUCGGAUUAUAUUCGGGUCGAAUUAUACUCGAGUAUAUAUGGUAAGACACUGUCUUAUUUUCGGGGAAACACGGUAGUAACAAAACUAAAAGAAUUCCUUGUUUGGGGUUAAUACCUUGAGGGAGCAACACCGACCAGGUUCGGCCCCAGGCCCCGGAAAAGUGACCUCGGACCCUCUUUUUCCAAAAUGGACCUGGAAGGAGGGAGAGAAGGGUCAAGACCAGGCUUUCGGGGUUGUUAUGGUUCUGUCCAGUAAAAUAAGGUCACAGCAGGAAACUAGAUUCCCCCCAGUAAACUUCCAAUGAUCCCAGCUACCUUUUAAACCCAAAUCCGGCCCGAUGACAAUGCAAGGCUGCUGGCUUCCCUCUUACAUAAUUAUGUCCCAAUCCAGGCCGGCCGGCUGCCAAAGCUCUUGGCUGCGUUGGCCGUGUUUAUUAUUUGAAAAGGAAAUUCAACCAAGCUGUUUUGCCUGGCAGAGGGUUUUCCUGAGCUCAGAAAAGGAAAGGAGUUUGGCAACUCGGUGCAAAAGGAGCCACCAUCUUGUUCUCUCAACAAUGAGGAGUACUGGGAGAUGCAGUCCAACCGUCACCAACAUUAAGAUUGAACAAGGCAUAAAGAAAUUAUAAUUAAGAAAAAUGAUUUAUAGGAGUUGUAGUUCACCUACACCCAGAGCAUGUUAUGAACGCAAGCACACAGAGCUCCCACGAGCAGCAAAAAAAUACUGGGAAAAUCCACCUUGAUUUGGGGGAGUUGUAGUUCACCUUCAUCCAAACCAUGAUGGAUCUGGACCAAAAAAUACUGGAGGUCUUUGGGGAAAAUGCACCUUGAUUUGGGGGAGUUGUAGUUCACCUUCAUCCAUAAUGAAUCCAAACAAUGAUGGAUCUGGACUAAACUUGGCAUGUAUACCUGAUAUGCUAAAAUUUGAUGAGUGGGAGGAUUUGGGAGGGAAUUAGCCUGAGAGUUGGGAGUUGUAGUUCUCCGACAACCAGAAAAACUGUGACCUCCACCGAUGAUGGAACUGGACCAAACUGGGCACACAGGACCCCCAUGACGAAGUCAACCUACUGGAGGGAUUGAGGGGACUGACUCACCAUAGUGGGAGUUGUAGUUUACCCUAUGAUCCAUCUUUGAAGGAAGCCAUACUCACUUCAGAACCCGGAUGAGUCCCGGGGACACCGACGUGGGCCGGACGACUCCUUCGCCGCUGAUGGUCCCCAGCUGCACCUGAGGAUAAUAGACGGCCCUGAAGGCCAACUUGGACGACUGGAGACGUGUUUUGAUGACUUCCAACGGACAGGUGAAGAUGGCGCCGACCGUCCCGCCACACCUGGAAAGGCCAACGUGCCAAACAACGAGCAUUAAGUAGCAGAAAGGAUAUUAUUACAAACACUCAAAAAAUGGGAAUUCCAGACAGGAAACAAUCAGGGCCAGCUACCACCUCCCAACGAACGAUGCCCCCAGGCUACAAGGUUAUUCAAUGCUAAUCAAGGUGACCUAUUUAUUUAUUUAUUAAUAUGUAUAUCCCGCCCUUCUCAUCCCGAAGGGGACUCAGAGCGGCUUACAAGUUAUAGGUACAUACAAUAUAUUAUACUAGCUGUGCCCGGCCACGCGUUGCUGUGGCGAAGUGUGGUGGUAUGGGAAAUAAAGUACUGAGGAAUUGGUGGUAGUUAAGGUAAAGGGUCCCCUGGGCUGAGUGGGUUGCUAGGAGACCAAGUGAGCAGAGCUUAGCCUUCUAACUGGCAGCAAUUGGAUAAAAACAAUUAUUCCUCUCCCUCUAAUUAGGACUUUAUUUUUCUUUUCUUUUUGUUGUAUCAACCUAGAGGCAUGGAUGAGGGGUUGUGCUGUCAAUUUUCGAAGUUGUGGGGUGUUUACUUUUGUUGUUUUGUCCGCUGCUGUGAUGCCAUCACUCUUUUAUAUAUAUAGAUUAUUAGCAUAGCACAAUAUUAGCCUUAUAUACAGUAGAGUCUCACUAAUCCAACCUUUGCUUAUCCAACAUUCUGUAUUAUCCAAUGUAGUUUGUCUUUUAGUAGUCAUUGUUUUCGUAGUCAAUGCUUUCAAUACAUUGCGAUGUUUUGGUGCUAAAUUUGUAAAUACAGUAGAGUCUCACUUAUCCAACGUUCUGAAUUAUCCAACACAUUUUUGUAGUCAAUGUCUUCAAUACAUCAUGAUAUUUUGGUGCUAAAUUCGUAAAUACAGUAGAGUCUCACUUAUCCAACGUUCUGGAUUAUCCAACACAUUUUUGUAGUCAAUGUUUUCAAUAUAUCGUGAUAUUUUGAUGCUAAAUUCGUAAAUACAGUAAUUACUACGUAGCAUUACUGUGCAUUGAACUACUUUUUCUGUCAAAUGUAUUGUAUAACAUGAUGUUUUGUUGCUUAGUUUGUAAAAUCAUAACCUAAUUUGAUGUUUAAUAGGCUUUUUCCUUAAUCUCUCCUUAUUAUCCAACUUAUUUGCUUAUCCAAUGUUCUGCCGGCCUGUUUAUGUUGGAUAAGUGAGACACUACUGUAUUAUUUUACUCUAUUUAUUAUUACAUUUAUUAUUUUACUCUAUUAUAAGUAUACAUAAGCACAUUUACAUUGAAGAAGAUGAAAAUAAUGAUUUAAUCGGAGUUCAACAUAUUCGCUUAUCCAAUGUUCUGCCGGCCCGUUUAUGUUGGAUAAGUGAGACUCUACUGUAUUAUUUUACUCUAUUUAUUAUUACAUUUAUUGUUUUACUCUAUUAUUAUUAAAAGUAUACAUAUGCACAUUUACAUUGAAGAAGAUGAAAAUAAUGAUUUAAUCAGAGUUCAACAUAUUCGCUUAUCCAACGUUCUGCCGGCCCGUUUAUGUUGGAUAAGUGAGACUCUACUGUAUAUACGGUAUAUGCAACUGCAACAUUCACAUUUGCCUCCAACAGACAAGAGGUUUCUCCCACCCUGGACUUUCCACAGAUAUAUAAACCCCACUUGCUCUCUUUUCCAGCAGACCUCACAACCUAUAGAUGUGGGCGAAACGUCAGGAGAGAAUGCUCCUGGAACAUGGCCAGACAGCCUGGAAAACUCACAGCAGCUGAAAUGCAGUACAUUUGAAUUUCAGAGUAAGACAACACCCAUCUAAGUAUUCCUCGCUUAAAGAAAAACCUAUGAAAUUCACAAUGUGACAUAAUUCGAAAGGCAACUUGAAGGCGCAUCUCCCUUUCAUACAUUUGAACUUUCUGAAACAUUCACAACCCAUUCAGCCCACGAAUGAACUCUCAGAGCAGCCAGUUACGUAAGCUCCCGCUCGGGCAACUCUGCCCUUCUCCCGGCUAUGAGAUUAUCUCUGUUUUUAAAAGAGGCACAAAGACGCUUUCGUGAAUAAGCUUUGGGCUUUUUAUAGAUCCUUCUGACAACGUCACUGUUUGGGGUCAGGUGGAAAUUGAGAUGCCAAAAACAAAGAGAGACGGAAGACCCCAAAAAGCGUAUUGAUUACCUCUGCUUCCUAAUCACAGCCCAUUUGCUGGUACCAGAAGGAAUUGGGUUUAAACCAAACUUGGGAUAUCUAUACUAUAAUAUUAUAUAAAAUUUUAUUAUAGAUAUUAUAAUAUUUCUCCCCUGUUUCGCCAAAAAUAAGACUGUCUUAUAUUAAUUUUUGCUAGGUCUUAUUUUCAGGGGAUGUCUCAUUUCUCUAUGAAGAAGAAUUCACAUUUGUUGUUGAACUAAAAAAAUGAAUAUUAAUUAUAUACUGUACAGUAAUUGUCAUUACAAACCAGCAUAACCAGCCAAACUGUGAAUCCUAACAAGAAUUUCUUGUUACUACCAUUAUUUCCAUGUACAACAAUCUAUGGUCUGUACAUUUACCAAUCCGGCAUGCUCUGGUGUUCUGUUCGUUGGGCAUGCUUCCAAACAAAAACUUUGCUAGAUCUUACUUUCAGGGGAGGUCUUAUAUUUAGCAAUUCAGCAAAAUCUCUACUAGGUCUUAUUUUCUGGGGAUGUCUUAUUUUCAGAGAAACAGGGUAAUAAUUAUAUAGAAAUUACUAGCUGUGCCUGGCCACGCGUUGCUGUGGUGAAGUCUGGUGGUAUGGGAAAUAAAGUAUUGAGGAAUUGGUGGUAGUUAAGGUAAAAGGUAAAGGUUUAACCUUACAUUAAGUCCAUUAUAAAUGGGUAAUAUAGCUGUGUGGAAGGGCCUUGAGUCUACACUGCCAUAUAAUCCAGUUCAAAUCAGAUAAUCUGUAUUUUAUAGGCAGUGUGGAAGAGGCCUAAGUGAGGCCUAACUCUGCCUGUCCCCUGGGCUGAGUGGGUUGCUAGGAGACCAAGUGGGUGGAGCUUAGCCUUCUAACUGGCAGCAAUGGGAUAAAAACAAUUAGGGCUUUAUUUUUCUUUCCUUUUUGUUGUAUAAACAUAGAGGCAUGGAUGAGGUGUUGUGCUGCCAAGUUUAGUGAUUCUGGGAUGUGUAGUUUUGUUGUUUUGUCCUAGGCCGAAAUUUCAUUAACCUUUUAUAUAUAUAGGUAAGACAUCUAUAUCUAUAGGAGUUGUAACUCACAUCCAGAGAGCACUGUGAACCCAAAGAAUAUACCUCACAACCUCUGAGGAUGCCUGCCAUAGAACCCCUGUGAAUAUCAAAAAAUACCGGAGGUUUUUGGGGGGAAUUCACCUUGAUUUGGGGGAGUUGUAGUUUACCUACAUCCAGAAUCCAAACACCAAUGGAUCUGGACCCAACUUGGCACCUACAUCCAGAGAGCACCAUGAACUCAAACGACCAUGCAUGCAUGCCUGAUAUGCCCAAAUCUGAAUAUUGGAGGAGUGUGGGAGGGAUAGAGCUUGAUUUCUGGGAGUUAUAGUUCACAUACAACCAGCGACACUGUGAACGCCACCAAUGAUGGAUCUGGACCCAACUUGGCACCUACAUCCAGAGAGGACCACGAACUCAAACGACCAUGCAUGCAUGCUUGAUACGCCAAAAUUUGAAUACUAGAGGUGCUUGGGACCUUGAUUUCUGGAAGUUAUAGUUCACCUACAACCAGAGAAAUUGUGAACGCCACCAACGAUGAAUCUGGACCAAACUUGGCACACAGAAUCCCAUGACUAAGUCAACAGCCCGGCCCUGGCUAGUAACCAGUUGCUAUAAAUCACUACUGACCGAGAGGUCAUGAGUUCGAAGCCCGGGUCGGGUUAAGCCUCCGACCAUUAAUAGCCCCGGCUUGCUGUUGACCUAUGCAGCCCCGAAAGACAGUUGCACCUGUCAAUUAGGGAAAUUUAGGGACGCUUUAUGUGGGAGGCUAAUUUACAACACCAUAAAACUGCCAGCAAAACACGGGAAAGGAAUGAGGAAGUACAGCCACUACUGGACGGUGAAGCAACAGCUCCCCCUGUGGCCGGAAUCGUGAAGCUAGAAAAAUGUUAAAAAUGCCUCUGAGUCUGUCUAAUGUAUGUUGUUUGUCUGUUGGCAUUGAAUGUUUACCUAUAUGUGUAAUGUGAUCCGCCCUGAGUCCCCUCGGGGUGAGAAAGAAGGGCGGAAUAUAAAUACUGUAAAUAAAUAAAUAAAUAAAACCUA